rnacentral:rRNA from 1 species
CCCUGAUCCACCAAUGCCACGUGUGUGAAGAAGGCCUUAGGGUUGUAAAGCACUUUCAAUCAGGAGGAAAGGCUAAGGGUUAACAGCCUUUAGUUAUGACGUUACUGAUAGAAGAAGCACCGGCUAACUCCGUGCCAGCAGCCGCGGUAAUACGGAGGGUGCGAGCGUUAUUCGGAAUUACUGGGCGUAAAGAGUUCGUAGGCGGCUGGGUAAGUUAGAUGUGAAAGCCCUGGGCUCAACCUAGGAAUUGCAUUUAAUACUGCUUAGCUAGAGUACAGUAGAGGAGAGGGGAAUUUCCAGUGUAGCGGUGAAAUGCGUAGAGAUUGGAAGGAACACCAGUGGCGAAGGCGACUCUCUGGACUGAUACUGACGCUGAGGAACGAAAGCUUGGGUAGCAAACAGGAUUAGAUACCCUGGUAGUCCAAGCUGUAAACGAUGAGUACUAGUUGUUGGAGUCGGUGUAAAGGCUCUAGUGACGCAGCUAACGCGUUAAGUACUCCGCCUGGGGACUACGGCCGCAAGGCUAAAACUCAAAGGAAUUGACGGGGACCCGCACAAGCGGUGGAGCAUGUGGUUUAAUUCGAUGCAACGCGAAGAACCUUACCUGCCCUUGACAUACUGAGAACUUGUCAGAGAUGACUUGGUGCCUUCGGGAACUCAGAUACAGGUGCUGCAUGGCUGUCGUCAGCUCGUGUCGUGAGAUGUUGGGUUAAGUCCCGCACCGAGCGCAACCCUUAUUGCCAGUUA